rnacentral:tRNA from 1 species
GCUCGGAUGGUGGAAUGGUAGACACGGAGGUCUCAAAAUCCUCUGCCUCAAGGCUUGCGGGUUCAAGUCCCGCUCUGAGCACCA